GCCCUAGUAACGGCGAGUGAAGCGGCAACAGCUCAAAUUUGAAAGCUAGCCUUCGGGUUCGCAUUGUAAUUUGUAGAGGAUGAUUUGGGGAAGCCGCCUGUCUAAGUUCCUUGGAACAGGACGUCAUAGAGGGUGAGAAUCCCGUAUGUGACAGGAAAUGGCACCCUAUGUAAAUCUCCUUCGACGAGUCGAGUUGUUUGGGAAUGCAGCUCUAAAUGGGAGGUAAAUUUCUUCUAAAGCUAAAUAUUGGCGAGAGACCGAUAGCGCACAAGUAGAGUGAUCGAAAGAUGAAAAGCACUUUGGAAAGAGAGUUAAAAAGCACGUGAAAUUGUUGAAAGGGAAGCGCUUGCAAUCAGACUUGUUUAAACUGUUCGGCCGGUCUUCUGACCGGUUUACUCAGUUUGGACAGGCCAGCAUCAGUUUCGGCGGCCGGAUAAAGGCUCUGGGAAUGUGGCCUCCACUUCGGUGGAGGUGUUAUAGCCCAGGGUGUAAUACGGCCAGCCGGGACUGAGGUCCGCGCUUCGGCUAGGAUGCUGG
rnacentral:rRNA from 1 species